rnacentral:rRNA from 1 species
GUGGGGAAUCUUGGACAAUGGGCGCAAGCCUGAUCCAGCCAUGCCGCGUGAGUGAUGAAGGCCUUAGGGUUGUAAAACUCUUUCGUCGGGGACGAUAAUGACGGUACCCGAAGAAGAAGCCCCGGCUAACUUCGCGCCAGCAGCCGCGGUAAUACGAAGGGGGCUAGCGUUGUUCGGAUUUACUGGGCGUAAAGCGCGUGUAGGCGGACUGGUAAGUUGGGGGUGAAAUCCCGAGGCUCAACCUCGGAACUGCCUCCAAAAAUGUCAGUCUGGAAUCAAGUAGAGGCAAGUGGAAUACCGAGUGUAGAGGUGAAAUUCGUAGAUAUUCGGUGGAACACCAGUGGCGAAGGCGACUUGCUGGACUUGUAGUGACGCUGAGACGCGAAAGCGUGGGGAGCAAACAGGAUUAGAAACCGUGUAGUCC